AGCUUAGGUGGUCUAUUGGUUAGAGCGUCCGUCUCGGAUGCGGGAGGUCGUGGGUUCGUUCCCCGGUCGAGUCA